rnacentral:rRNA from 1 species
AGAACGAACGCUGGCGGCAUGCCUAACACAUGCAAGUCGAACGCCUGUAGCAAUACAGGAGUGGCGCACGGGUGAGUAACGCGUGGGAACCUACCCUGGAGUGGGGGAUAACCGAGAGAAAUUUCGGCUAAUACCGCAUACGACCUGAGGGUGAAAGAUUUAUCGCUCUAGGAGGGGCCCGCGUCGGAUUAGCUAGUUGGUGAGGUAACGGCCUACCAAGGCAACGAUCCGUAGCUGGUCUGAGAGGAUGAUCAGCCACACUGGGACUGAGACACGGCCCAGACUCCUACGGGAGGCAGCAGUGGGAAUAUUGGACAAUGGGGGCAACCCUGAUCCAGCAAUGCCGCGUGAGUGAUGAAGGCCUUAGGGUUGUAAAGCUCUUUCGGGCGGGACGAUGAUGACGGUACCCGCAGAAGAGCCCCGGCUAACUUCGCGCCAGCAGCCGC